GGGUGCGUAACGCGUAUAGAACCUACCUUUUACUGGAGGAUAGCCUUUAGAAAUGAAGAUUAAUACUCCAUAGUAUUAUAGAAUGGCAUCAUUUUAUAAUUAAAGAUUUAUUGGUAAAAGAUGGCUAUGCGUUUUAUUAGCUAGUAGGUAAGGUAACGGCUUACCUAGGCUACGAUAAAUAGGGGCCCUGAGAGGGGGAUCCCCCACACUGGUACUGAGACACGGACCAGACUCCUACGGGAGGCAGCAGUGAGGAAUAUUGGGCAAUGGAGGCAACUCUGACCCAGCCAUGCCGCGUGCAGGAAGACUGCCCUAUGGGUUGUAAACUGCUUUUAUACAGGAAGAAACACCCCGACGUGUCGGGGCUUGACGGUACUGUAAGAAUAAGCACCGGCUAACUCCGUGCCAGCAGCCGCGGUAAUACGGAGGGUGCAAGCGUUAUCCGGAAUCAUUGGGUUUAAAGGGUCCGCAGGCGGUCAAUUAAGUCAGAGGUGAAAUCCUACAGCUUAACUGUGGAACUGCCUUUGAUACUGGUUGACUUGAGUUAUACGGAAGUAGAUAGAAUAAGUAGUGUAGCGGUGAAAUGCAUAGAUAUUACUUAGAAUACCGAUUGCGAAGGCAGUCUACUACGUAUAUACUGACGCUCAUGGACGAAAGCGUG
rnacentral:rRNA from 1 species